AUGAAGUCCUUGUCUCUGUAAUGAAGCCACAUCCACUUUGUUUUCAGAAUUCAUUUUUCAGGAAAUUGAAAAACUCGUCGCGCAUUGAAAUUUUAAUUUAACAUACCUUAAUGUUUUGUGGAUCUGUUAAAUUAAUACAUAAUGGUUCAAAAAGUGUUAUGACAUCAAUUCAAUUAUAUAAAUAUUUAUUACGUCAAUGUGAAAAGUUACCGCCUGACGCUUGUAAACAUUAUAAAUUUGCUGUCAGACAGAGCUAUAAACAGCACAAGUUUGAACCAGACCCAGAGCGAGUAAAAGAGAUAAUCAGUAAAAGUGUAGAAGAUGCAAAGUGGAUUGUGAAUAAGUAUACAAAAAAAUAAUGGAUAUGAUUACGGGCAAUAUCAACACAAAGCAUUAUAAAUAUAAUUUUAUUCAUGAUAAACGAAUACUGUAGUAAGAAUGAGUAUGUUUGGAGAAAAGAUAGAAGAAUAUGAAAUAUUGGAACAUCUAGGUAAAGGAGGAUUCGCAAAUGUAUAUAGAGCAAGAUGUCGACGAACAGGAUUGUUUGUGGCCAUCAAAAUGAUAGACAAAGCUCUGAUGGCAAGUGCAGGUAUGAUUGGGAGAGUACGACAAGAAGUCACCAUUCAUUCUCGCUUGAAACAUCCUGCAAUUUUAGAGCUAUUUACAUUUUUUGAAGAUGCACAUUAUGUCUAUUUAGUUUUAGAACUAGCACACAAUGGUGAAUUGGCAAAGCAUUUUAAAUUAGGAACUCGAGGCCUAUCUGAAAAGGCUGCAGCUGAUAUAUUUCGACAAGUCGUAAGUGGUGUGUUAUAUCUUCAUACUCAUAACAUAAUACACAGAGAUUUGUCUCUAAACAAUCUACUGCUUACCAAAGAUCUUAAUGUCAAAAUUGCUGAUUUUGGUUUAGCCACUCAGCUAAAUGGCCCAGAUGAGAAACAUGUCACUAUGUGUGGAACUCCAAAUUAUAUAUCUCCAGAAGUAGCAUCAAGAGAGUUACAUGGAUUACCUGCAGAUGUCUGGGGAUUGGGCUGCAUGUUAUAUACACUUUUAGUAGGAAGACCACCAUUCCAUACUCAGCAUGUUAAAACUACUCUAAAUAAAGUCAUCAAUGCAGACUAUAAAAUACCUCCAGAGCUAUCACUGCCAGCUCAAGAUUUAUUACUAAAACUCUUGUGCAAAGAUCCUAUUAAAAGAAUCACACUUAAGGAAAUAAUGGAACAUCCAUUUAUAACAAGUUUGUGCUCAAAUAAUUCAAAUGUAACAAAGCAAGAUAUUUCUAGAGAUUCAGGGUUUCUCACCACUCUACAUAGCACUCAGCACAGUGGCAAGAUAAGGCAUGAAGACAGAACUUCAUCAGAUUAUCAAUGCUCAAGUGGAAAUGUUGAAGAUUUAAAGCACAAAGGCUCAAAACUAUCUUAUAAUGUAUUUGCUGGAAUGCAAGAAAACUGUACACAGUCAUCUAAUUGUCAUAGUUAUGAUUAUAAAAUAUGUAUGAAUAGUGAAAAAGGGUCAGAAAUUAUUGAUUUCCAGGCCCAGUUACAACCCAGUAGUAGUAUACUACCCCAAAAAAAUGACAAUAGUUCUGCACAAAUGAUUGAUGAUAUAAAAAAAAUGAAUAUUAACUGUAUUACAACUGAAGGGAAAAGAAUGAUAAACUGUGGAGAAAAUAAAGAAAAUAUCCCUAAAAGUUGCAAUUCCACGUCAAAUGCAAUCGGUGUUCCACCAUUAUGUGCAGAAAGAUUGCCAGUUAUUUCACACAGAACUCGUAAUGCUAUAUUAAAGAUAGAACCUACUGCAGUUAUUGUGGAAUUUAUAAAAAAGAAAGGGAAAGACAGAGAAGAGAAGGUUGUUGAGAUAUGCAAAAUUACAAAAGAUGGAAUGAAAAUAAUAAUCUACUCAGUUGAUAACAUUAAAGAAAAAUGUAUAACACCCUUUGCAGAACAUAACCCAAGCCCUGAUGAAGUUUUUUCCUAUCAUAAUCUGCCACAGAAACAUUGGAAAAAGUAUUUAUAUGCAUCUCGAUUUGUAGAACUUGUAAAAGCUAAAACCCCUAAAAUAACUUUAUACUCUUCACUAGCCAAGUGCCAACUUAUGGAAAAUAAUGUGGAUAUGGAAAUAUUUUUUUACAAUGGAGAAAAGGUUGCAUUUGUGUCGACAGAAGGUCUGAAAGUAAUUGAUAAGAAUUUGAAAACUUAUCACAACCCAUAUAAUGUCCCAGAAUUAAAAUAUUUGCUAGAUCAUUAUGAAGAGUGUUCAAACCGCAUAAAGAGAAUACAAUCAGCUCUUUCAUGUAUAUCUGAUGAAUGUUUUCCUUUAAUAAUUGGUAAAAGGCCUGUGCAAACUUUGAGUAAUACUCAAGCUAGUUCUCCAUUACAAGGGUCAGUCAAUGCUAAUUAUAAUAGUCCUCUUUUUAAUGUUGGAUCUUUUCAUCGAACAGCUGCUAGUUCUAGCCAUGCACAUAGUGAUUUUAAUAAUAUGUUUUAAUUCACUCAAUGAUAACAUUCAAUUUGAAUGUAUAAAGUUGCUUUCAAUCAACAAGAUUUUAAAAUCACAUAAUCACUGAAGAUGGGACACAUCCUUUAAUGAUCCAGUGUCCAGCUAAAAUUGUAAAUCCAGUAGGAUACCAUAAAUACCAGGAUGCGUAUGUAUUGUACGAAAAAAAUAUUGUUGCGACUAAACAUUGUAUACCUUACCUACCCUAAAUAUUUGGACAGGCAUAGUUUUGUGUCAUAGCAUAGUAAAGAACAUUUUUCUUGUAUUAAUUAUUUUAUAAUUAGUUCAUACAGUUAAGUAUAAAUAUUUUAUGAUAAAUUGACUUGUAUCUAUUAACUGUAGAUAGAUAGUUAAAUAAAAGAAUAUUAUUUAAGAUCCCUGCCACCCAAUCAUAAUAAUUUAUUUGCGAGUUAUACAGGAUGUGUCGUAAAUAGUGGUCCAAAGCAAAGGGGUCGCGUCAAGUCG